rnacentral:rRNA from 1 species
CUCGUGUUGCGAAAUGUUGGGUUAAGUCCCGCAACGAGCGCAACCCUUAUCCUUUGUUGCCAGCGGUUAGGCCGGGAACUCAAAGGAGACUGCCAGUGAUAAACUGGAGGAAAGGUGGGGAUGACGUCAAGUCAUCAUGGCCCUUACGAGUAGGGCUACACACGUGCUACAAUGGCGCAUACAAAGAGAAGCGACCUCGCGAGAGCAAGCGGACCUCAUAAAGUGCGUCGUAGUCCGGAUUGGAGUCUGCAACUCGACUCCAUGAAGUCGGAAUCGCUAGUAAUCGUGGAUCAGAAUGCCACGGUGAAUACGUUCCCGGGCCUUGUACACACCGCCCGUCACACCAUGGGAGUGGGUUGCAAAAGAAGUAGGUAGCUUAACCUUCGGGAGGGCGCUUACCACUUUGUGAUUCAUGACUGGGGUGAAGUCGUAACAAGGUAGGCGUAGUGCU